UCAGACGGCUGGAUGGCCGCCCUCCAAAUUCCCGAAAGGGCUUGGGGGGAGGAAAGUCCGGGCUCCACGGAAACACGGUGCCGGGUAACGCCCGGCGGGGGCGACCCCAGGGAAAGUGCCACAGAAAGCAAACCGCCGAUCCGCCUUUCGAGGCCGGUCGGCAAGGGUGAAAGGGUGCGGUAAGAGCGCACCGCGCCCCUGGCGACAGGGGCGGCAUGGUAAACCCCACCGGGAGCAAAACCGAAUAGGGACGGCAGGCAGGGUUCGCCCCUGCAAGUGGGUUUUCGCACCGCUGUCCGGGUAGGUUGCGCGAGGCGUUUGGUAACAGGCGUCCCAGAUGAAUGGCCAUCCAUCGCCCCAAAAGGGCGGGGACAGAACCCGGCUUACAGGCCGUCUGACAUU
rnacentral:RNase_P_RNA from 1 species